AAUAGCGACUAUCGUGGCAUAUCAAUAAGCGGAGGAAAAGAAACUAACUAGGAUUCCCUCAGUAACGGCGAGUGAAGCGGGAAGAGCUCAAAUUUGAAAUCUUCAAGGUUCUACCUCGACGAAUUGUAGUUUAUAGAAGUGUUUUCUGUUAGUAGAGUGGCAAAAGUUCUUUGGAAUAGGACAUCAUAGAGGGUGAGAAUCCCGUAUUUGGUCAUUCCUCCUAGCGUUGUGAUACACUUUCAACGAGUCGGAUUGUUUGGGAAUGCAGUCCAAAAUGGGUGGUAAAUUUCAUCUAAAGCUAAAUAUUGGCGAGAGACCGAUAGCGAACAAGUACCGUGAGGGAAAGAUGAAAAGAACUUUGAAAAGAGAGUUAAACAGUACGUGAAAUUGUCAAAAGGGAAGCGUUUGACACCAGUGUUGUUUUUCCGAAAAUCAAUUACGAAUGUCUUGUUUUUGAGGAGUUAUGACUUCAUCGGCUUGCCCCUUUCUUUACGAAACUUUCUUAAUGCACUUUUCGGUUAACAAGUCAACAUCAAUUUCUUUUGUUGUAAAAGGGUAUGAGGAAGGUGGCUUUCUUUUCGGAGAAAGUGUUUAUAGCCUUGUGCCUCUGCAAUCGGAGAGAUUGAGGUCUGCAGCGUAGAUCCUUCGGGGUUAGAUACGUUUGUGCUAAGUUAUAGCUUUUCAUAGACAACUUGUUGACUAUGUUUAGUCUUGUAGCUUACUCGCUGACGCUAUUUUACCUACGCUUAGGAUGUUGAUAUGCAUGACUGAUAU
rnacentral:rRNA from 1 species